rnacentral:lncRNA from 1 species
AUGAUCAUCUACUGGGACCUCAUCAGCCACGUCGAGCUGUUCUCUGUUAUGUUCUCUGAUAGGAUCUGGGAGAUUGCAGACAGUCUGUGCCUGGAGGUGGGGGGUCAAGAUGAUCAGUAGAACAGAGGGCACCAUCUAUGACUCUCUCAUUGGUGGAAAUGCAUCCACUGAAGGUCUGGAGGGCAAAAGUACCAAAAGCACAGUAGUCACUGAUGUUGACAUUGUCAUGAACUUAAAAGAAACCAGCGUCACAUAAAAAGGCCUACAAAAAGUACAUUAAAGACUACAUGAAAUCAUUCAAAUGCAAACUUGAAGAACAGAAACCAGAAAGAAUAAGGCCUUUUAUGACUGGAGCUGCAGAGCAAAUUAAGCACAUCCUUGCUAAGUUCAUUGACUACCAGUUUUUUAUUGGUAAAAACAUGAAUCCAGAUGGUAUGGUUGCUCUCCUGGACUACCGUGACGAUGGUGUGACUCCAUUCAUGAUUUUUUUAAAGGAUGGUUUAGAGAUGGAAAGAUGUUAA